GGACCUGACUGCUAUCGGAUUGAUACUAAGCCAUGCGAGUCAUUGUAGUAAUACAAGGCAGACGGCUCAGUAACGCGUAGUCAACCUACCCUAUGGACGGGGAUAACCUCGGGAAACUGAGAAUAAUACCCGAUAGAACAUUAUGCCUGGAAUGGUUUAUGUUUCAAAUAAUUUAUUGCCGUAGGAUGGGACUGCGGCCUAUCAGUUUGUUGGUGAGGUAAUGGCCCACCAAGACUAUUACAGGUACGGGCUCUGAGAGGAGUAGCCCGGAGAUGGGUACUGAGACACGGACCCAGGCCCUAUGGGGCGCAGCAGGCGAGAAAACUUUGCAAUGUGCGAAAGCACGACAAGGUUAAUCCGAGUGGUUUCUGCUAAAGGAACCUUUUGUCAGUCCUAGAAACACUGGUGAAUAAGGGGUGGGCAAGUUCUGGUGU
rnacentral:rRNA from 1 species